rnacentral:lncRNA from 1 species
AGAAUGUCUGCAGUAUUUCCUGAAAUAAGUAUCCCUCAAGGAUGAUACUGUGGACCUCACUCAGGAAGAAUGUGUCCUUCAGAGAAAGCUGCGCAGAGACGUGGUGCUGGAGAAGCAGUCAUCUGGUUACUUUGGUACAUGACUUCAGGCUCCUAUGUGCAGAAGUCCUCAACCCCCAGGCUGCAGACCAGUACCUGUCCAUGGCCUGUUAGGAAACUGGCCGCACAGCAGGAGUGUGUACUGUCAUUGUUGCUACAGGUGAAAUGAUUAUUGCAGUUUUGAGGGGAGAUGAUGUCACAAGAUCUCGAACCCAUAUCUCAGAACUGCCUGCCUCCUCCCACACACUCUGGCUGUCCUGACCAUCACUUCAAGCCCACCAGCCCUGCAGCAAAAAAAAUCAAACGAGUAGUUCAGAAGGCAAAGUCUGCAAGGGAAGGAAGUGUAUUGGGAGGAGUUUACCGUGAAGAAGCUGACUGCUAUGAAC